UUNCAGCACAAGCAGUUAUAGUUGGUGGUC
rnacentral:piRNA from 1 species